rnacentral:snRNA from 1 species
AGCUUUGCGCAGUGGCAUUAUCGUAGCUGAUGAGGUUUUAUCCGAGGCGCGAUUAUUGCUGAUUGAAAACUUAUACCAAUACCCCGCCAGAUGGCCUGAAAUAUGGUCAACUGAGCAAUUUUUUUUGGUCCUUUAUUGGG